rnacentral:rRNA from 1 species
AGGAGUUUGAAUCAUGGCUCAGGAUGAACGCUGGCGGCGUGCCUAAUACAUGCAAGUCGAGCGAACGGACGAGAAGCUUGCUUCUCUGAUGUUAGCGGCGGACGGGUGAGUAACACGUGGAUAACCUACCUAUAAGACUGGGAUAACUUCGGGAAACCGGAGCUAAUACCGGAUAAUAUUUUGAACCGCAUGGUUCAAAAGUGAAAGACGGUCUUGCUGUCACUUAUAGAUGGAUCCGCGCUGCAUUAGCUAGUUGGUAAGGUAACGGCUUACCAAGGCAACGAUGCAUAGCCGACCUGAGAGGGUGAUCGGCCACACUGGAACUGAGACACGGUCCAGACUCCUACGGGAGGCAGCAGUAGGGAAUCUUCCGCAAUGGGCGAAAGCCUGACGGAGCAACGCCGCGUGAGUGAUGAAGGUCUUCGGAUCGUAAAACUCUGUUAUUAGGGAAGAACAUAUGUGUAAGUAACUGUGCACAUCUUGACGGUACCUAAUCAGAAAGCCACGGCUAACUACGUGCCAGCAGCCGCGGUAAUACGUAGGUGGCAAGCGUUAUCCGGAAUUAUUGGGCGUAAAGCGCGCGUAGGCGGUUUUUUAAGUCUGAUGUGAAAGCCCACGGCUCAACCGUGGAGGGUCAUUGGAAACUGGAAAACUUGAGUGCAGAAGAGGAAAGUGGAAUUCCAUGUGUAGCGGUGAAAUGCGCAGAGAUAUGGAGGAACACCAGUGGCGAAGGCGACUUUCUGGUCUGUAACUGACGCUGAUGUGCGAAAGCGUGGGGAUCAAACAGGAUUAGAUACCCUGGUAGUCCACGCCGUAAACGAUGAGUGCUAAGUGUUAGGGGGUUUCCGCCCCUUAGUGCUGCAGCUAACGCAUUAAGCACUCCGCCUGGGGAG